GCUCCAAUGGUAAAUCAAAUGAAUAUCAAAAACAUACCUUCCCUUGUUGCAUGUACUGUGAACAGCAAAGAAGAAAGAGGCUCACGAAAACAGGAAAGUCACAGGAAGAAGCCACGGUUGUAGAAGGGAAGAAGGAAGAAAGCCUCCAGCGAGUGGAAGACAAAGGAAAUCCAAGUCGGAUGUUGCCAGGAGACCGAGAGCGCACGGGAGGAUGAAGAAGAUGGAGUGCGGCGGCUGAAAUCCCUUUCACCCUAAAACAAAACAAAACAGAAACCCUUCAUCCCGCGGGAACAAGUAAUGUGUA
rnacentral:lncRNA from 1 species